CUGUGUUCCCACCAUGGCUUGGGCCCCUCUCCUCCUUGCUGUGGUCACCUACUGCUCAGGUUAUCUUGCCCAGUACAUGCCAACUCAGCCACCCAUAGUAUCUGUGUCUCCAGGACAAACUGCUCAAAUCACCUGCACAGGGAAUAAUGUUGGUGGCCACAAUGUGCACUGGUACCAACAGAAGCCUGGCAGUGUCCCUAUGCUGAUCAUAUAUGACAAUAGCAAGAGACCCUCUGGCAUAGCUGAUCGAUUCUUUGGUUCAAAAUCCAGUAAUACGGCCACGUUGACCAUCAGUGGAGUCCAAGCCCAGGAUGAGGCUUAUUACUACUGCCAGUGCUAUGCUGGUGACAGCAGAACUUAUCACAGUGACACAGUGUAA